rnacentral:sRNA from 1 species
AGGAAACUGUGGUCAUGGUCCUUAAAUGAUGAAAGAAAAUGAAGGAAUACAGAGUGAUCAUUUGUGUUAUAUACUUCUGAUGGCUUUUUGCCUGAAUUCAUCAAUGGAGACUUUGAUUCUAUUAGGCCUGAAGUCAGAGAAUACUACGCUACUAAGGGAUGUGAGCUCAUUUCAACUCCUGAUCAAGACCACACUGACUUUACUAAGUGCCUUAAAAUGCUCCAAAAGAAGAUAGAAGAAAAAGACUUAAAGGUUGAUGUGAUUGUGACACUGGGAGGCCUUGCUGGGCGUUUUGACCAGAUUAUGGCAUCUGUGAAUACCUUGUUCCAAGCAACUCACAUCACUCCUUUUCCAAUUAUAAUAAUCCAAGAGGAAUCGCUGAUCUAUCUGCUCCAACCAGGAAAGCACAGAUUGCAUGUAGACACUGGAAUGGAGGGUGAUUGGUGUGGCCUUAUUCCUGUUGGACAGCCUUGUAUGCAGGUUACAACCACAGGCCUCAAGUGGAACCUCACAAAUGAUGUGCUUGCUUUUGGAACAUUGGUCAGUACUUCCAAUACCUACGACGGGUCUGGUGUUGUGACUGUGGAAACUGACCACCCACUCCUCUGGACCAUGGCCAUCAAAAACUAACCUGUUGACUGGCAUCCAUAAGUGUGCCUCUGCCUUAUCUCAUUUCUCAAUGGUUCAUUGCUCAACAAGAACGAUUCACCUGGGUUUGCAAGAAUCUAAACCUCUCUAGGGGAAGCC